rnacentral:misc_RNA from 1 species
UCACCAAUGCUGCCAAAUACACGGCUGACGGCGGACACAUCUGGCUCACGGUGCAGCAGGAAGGCGAUGAAGCAGUGCUGCGGGUGCGGGAUACGGGCGUCGGCAUCGCCCCCGAAUUACUCCCGCACAUCUUUGAUCUUUUUACGCAAGCGGAACGAUCGCUCGCCCGCUCGGAAGGCGGGUUGGGCAUCGGGCUCUGCUUGGUGCAACGGCUGGUGGAAAUGCACGGGGGUAGAGUGGAGGCUUCCAGUGUGUUGGGGCAGGGCAGCGAGUUCGUCGUGCGGCUGCCGGUGACGGCGACUCCCGCGCCGCAGCCGCCAUCGUCACCCAAGGAAACUACCGAGUCGACUGGACCGUCCAUGCGGGUGCUGGUGGUGGAUGACAACGUGGAUGCGGCUGAGACGUGGGGAAUGCUGCUGAAAGAGUCAGGGCAUGAUGUUCGGACAGCUCACGACGGCCGGACUGCGCUGGAAGCGGCCGUCGAAUACCGACCGAACGUGGUGCUGUUGGACAUUGGCUUACCGGGGAUGAACGGCCUUGAGGUAGCCAAGAAGAUGCGGGAGCACCCCCUUCUCCAUGGCAUCGUGCUUAUCGCCAUGACGGGUUAUGGGCAAGAGGCAGACCGCCAGCGGUCGCAAGCAGCGGGGUUCGAUCACCAUUUGGUAAAGCCAGUUUCUUUUGGGAAAGUUAAGCAAAUCCUGGCGACCCUCUCGGAAAAGGUGAAGUGAUGCCCACACGGAGCGGGGAUGUGGACUUGCCUUUAGGCAUGGCCCAAGCCGUGGACUGGUGAAUGAAGAGUAUCCGAUGCCGACGACUGAGAAGAUACUUCGGGUUCUCAUCGUGGAUGACCACCGAGACGCUGCUGACUCCUUGGGUUUGCUCGUUGAGGAAUUCGGCCACCAGGUGCAUGUGACGUACGGCGGGAAGCAGGCACUCGACGUUGCGACCGCAUUUCGGCCCGACGUGAUGCUCGUCGAUUUGGCCAUGCCCGACUUGGACGGUUGUAGUCUCGUCAGGCGAUUUCGCGAAACUCCCGCCUUCGCUCACACGAAGAUCGCAGCCAUAACCGGCCAUAAGGACGAGGGACACAAAACCUUGGCCAUGAAGGCCGGGUUCGAUACGGUUCUCUUCAAGCCCGCCUCUCUGACAGAAAUAAAAGCGGUCUUAGCCAGUGUCGUGGUCUCAGAUUCGGGCCAACCACCAAAACGCGCCAAAGCGCGUGUGAGUCUCGAAGUCGAGCGACGUUUGCCGAUUGACGAGGCUCGACGAAUCAGGAAUGAGCGUGAAUCGAAAACCCUCACGCAAGCAGAAAGUGAAUCAGCCAUCUGUGAAGGAAUUCUUCGCUUUCAAGACGAAUAUUUGGGAUGGAGGUCGGAACAGAUUCACGCUCACUUCAUUAAUGACCUUUUGAUAGUGCGUAUCCU